CCCACCCUUGGAGACAGAAACAGCCCCUGUGAUCAAAUGGGGGCUACCUGGGAGGCCAUUGAGCCCACAGGAGCCUGACCCAGCCUGGGGGGUGGGGUGCAGGAGAAGCUUUCAGGAGGUGACAGUGCACACAGGCCUGAGACUUGAAGAGUGGCGACUACAUACAAGGAGGAAGGGUGUUCAAGGCAGAAGGAACAGCAGUGAAAAGGCCCGAGGCAUCGAGGCUUGUCCAGUGGUUCAGGGUGCCUGAGAAGAGAGUGCAAGUGGCCCCGAGGAGGCCAGGCAGGGACCAGGUCGAGAAAGGGCGGGAGAAUCAGGCCAAGCGGCUUGGAUUUCAUGCCGGGGCUGGGAGAGGCGCUGCGGCCCAGUGGUUAGCGCCUGGGCGCUGAGUCCCGCCUCCCGGGUGGGAGUCCCGCGGCUGUUUCUCACAGCUUGACCGCUCCAGGCCUGCGUGCACGUCUGUAAAAUCGACGAAAUGCCGCUCAGCGCGGUGUGGGCAUCUUCCCACGCGGCUUCUCGGGCUUCCUCACGCGCCGGGGGCUCAUCCCAGCCCGGGCUGCCAGGCGGAGAAGGCAGCCGCUUCCAGUGCUCUCGAGGGCCUGACUCCGAAGGCCCACACAUUUCUUCUGCAUGGCGUGCCAAGUGGUGCCAUGUCCGCAUCCAGGAUCCGAACCUGCGAACCGGGGCCGAGAGAGAAGCUCAACGUGGGAACCUAACCACUGCGCCACCUGCGGGCUACCCACCAACGUUGUUUAUACUUGAGCACCUACCUGCCUUUGAAUAUGUUUUAAAAUAAAAUAGAUUAGACAAAUCAGAAAAA
ensembl:lncRNA